rnacentral:lncRNA from 1 species
UUCUAGUGGGAGAGAGGAAAGAAAUACUGGAUUCUUACACAAGACAAUCCGCACCAAGAUUUUGUUUUCUCAAGAAUCAAACAGAAAAUCAAGAUGGGUUUUCCUGCGUGGAGGCAAAUCUGUUGAUGAGAGCCAAAGCAUUACUUGUAUAAUGAGCAACCUUAAUAAUAUGUCUUCGAACCCUGGUCUUAACAUAUCCAUUCAUGGCCUUCCCUUCAAAACCAUCCAUGCAAGUAUCCUCAUCAGUCAAGGCAGCGCUCACCCAGGUUUGAAUAUCGCUAAUCGCAAGCGCGAAAUCUGGGUCGUCUCUGAUGAUAUGAUCGAUUUCUGCCAAUGAAUUUCGAAUCUCAAAAACAGAAUCGGCCAUCUCUUCCAAACAAUCCGCCAUGGCAGCAGCUACUCUGGGCUUCAACCCAUGGAUUCUUGACAGCUUCUUCA